rnacentral:rRNA from 1 species
UACGGAGGGUGCAAGCGUUAUCCGGAUUCACUGGGUUUAAAGGGUGCGUAGGAGGGCAGGUAAGUCAGUGGUGAAAUCUCCGAGCUUAACUUGGAAACUGCCGUUGAUACUAUCUGUCUUGAAUAUUGUGGAGGUGAGCGGAAUAUGUCAUGUAGCGGUGAAAUGCUUAGAUAUGACAUAGAACACCUAUUGCGAAGGCAGCUUACUACGCCUAUAUUGACGCUGAGGCACGAAAGCGUGGGGAUCAAACAGG